CUUAAUUAAAGAGCAAAAAACUGACAAGGGAGAAAGAGAUCAGACUUGAAACUGGCUUAAUUAUGUACUGAACUGUUGUAUUUUUAGUAGUUAAAGAUGAUAAACAUUAAUAAAAAUAUUGGCCUUUUAAAUGAAUCUUUGACAUUAAUAAAAAUAUUUUAGCAUGCUCUUGUAAAUGAUCAUUGAGCUAUCCUUCUUUAUCUUCUUCCCUUUUGUAAGGGAAACUGUUGAUCACAGCUUGAACCUCUGAUUAACCAUCUGAGGCAAGUGAUGAGUCAGCUGUGGGAACACAGGUGAAGGUAAUUCAGCUGUGCUCCCAGAAGGGGUGGAGCUUGACUCCACCUCUCCUAGCUCCCAUAGUUGGCUUGUGAGUAAGAUGUGCCCAUGCUCUCCUGUGCAUGGGAAGCAGGGCUAAGGAGAACAAACACCCUGGAAAUUAGGAGCUGUACCAGAUGUGAAAGUUCAGCUCUGGCAGCCAGCUCAGUCUCACUGGCGGUUGAAGAGCCUCCUAGAAAGGUACUGAUCAUCAGGCCCUCGUCCAGCAGAUACCCACAUAAGUCAGGUAAGAAUGAUGAUAAACCUGACCUUGUUGAGAUGUCUGAAGUUCCUUCAUGCCUAGGAAAUGUGAAUUGCUAUCUGCUUGCUUCCCUUUGAAAUUAUGUGGGGAGAGAAGGGCAGAGUCAGCUAAGUGUAAUUG
rnacentral:lncRNA from 1 species